rnacentral:rRNA from 1 species
ACACCGAAAGACUAAGGUUUCCUCCGCUAUGCUAAUCAACGGAGGGUUAGUCGGAUCCUAAGGAUAAUGCGAGAGCAGAAGCCGAUGGGAAUCAGUUUAAUAUUACUGAACCUGUUAUAAAUGCGACACGGGGACGGAUUUUGAAGCUUUGCACGUACUGACGGAAUAGUGCGUAGAGGGGACGCUUAGGCAGAACCGAGUAGGGGGACGAGGUUCCAAGAAAAGCCGUUAAGCUCUAGUUUAUAACAGACCGUACCGCAAACCGACACAGGUAGUCGAGGCGAGAAGCCUAAGGUGCUCGAGUGAUUCAUGGUUAAGGAACUAGGCAAAAUCGCCUCGUAACUCCGG